CGCGGAGGCGGCGGAGCCCGUUGUUCCGGGAGCCAGCAAAGCCCCGGCGUAUCACCCCGGAGUCCGGCCGCGGGGGAAGGGCAUCGAUCUGUGCCCUCAGCUGCCCUUCCUCCCCCUCUUCCCGCGGCGCCCAACUGCCUGCCCCUGUCAGUCACCCGAGGCCGCGCGCGGGGGCAGGUCUCUGCCUGGGCUGCUCGCUGCGCUCCUUGUAGGGUGUGUGCUCCGAAAAUAGGAAGCGGGAGCGGGGCGGCGGCGCCUGGCGCGCGGGCGGGGGUCUCGGAGGGCGGCGGUGCCGGGGACCCUGUCCUUCCGCCUGGGCCGCAGGGCCCUGCGCCAGUGUCUGGGGACUGCAAAGGGGUCUGAGUCCCGGCCUGUGAGCGGCCCAAGGGCAGCGCCCAGCCCGACGGCCUGGUCAAAGAGUGUUGCCGGCGUGAGGGAAAGAAAAACUUCAGGACUGGUUGUGGGCCGAGGGGAAUGAUUCAGAGGCAAGAAGUAGAAAAUUGGCCAGAACAUGGAAGCAACUGAAGUGUACUAUGCUAGACGAUGGGA